GAGGGAGAGAGAAAAGUGGAGGCAAAAGGAUAAAAGUAGGUCCUUUGGUCCAUAGCUUUUGUGUGCACCAUGAGAGAAAAGUAGGGUUUGGUCCAUGGUCCACCAUGGACCAAGGGCCCUCCUCUCACUUUUCUUGCUCCCCACUCUAACUCAUUUGACCCCUUGACCAUGGCAUGAGAGGCUUGACUUGUUGACUAGUUUUCCUCUGCCACGUAGGAUUGACCGCGCCACGUAGGUGUCUUUGACUCGUGCUUGCGGAAUGUUGACUUGGUCGCCAUCACAUAGGAUUUACGGCUCGGCCCAUAUAAGGGUUUAUUUUACUACUAUUCUUCAAAUUUUAUUUGAGUGUAUAUGUGUAGUGAGGUUUAUUAAUUUUGCAUUUCGAAAAAAUCAAUCGUGAACAUGGUUCGUGAAGGAACUUUUAAUUUCCUAUUUUCAUACUGGUCUAAUAGCACAUACCAGUGACAUGCCUUUGUCAUUUUUUUGUGCUUUAAAAAUAAUACAAAUACAAUAAUAAAUAUCUUUAAUAAAGAUGUUUUGCACGGGACACCUUGCUAGUUCUUUAAUUAAUGCAAAAAAGGGAAAUAUCAGGAAAACAUAGCUUAUGCAUUUUUUUUGUAAAUCCGGUACGCAUAUCCAUUUAACUGGUUUAAGUAACACUAAAGUAACAUAUCUUGGAGGGAAGCGCCGUCGCCGCGUCGUAUAAUUGCCUUAAAAAAAAGAUACUCUUUCCGUUUCAUAAUUUUUAUCUCAAAAUUUGCCCCCAAAAUAAUGUAUUUAUUUAUAAGAAAUGUUUAGAUUCAUGUAAUAUUUCGACAAAAAUUAUUAAACUGAGGGAGUAUCUCUUGUCCGUCGAGCACAUACUGCAUAAGCAUGCACACGCAGGUUGUGUCUCUGGUCUCUUCUGCGGUCAUUUGCAGUUUCGCGCUAAACUGACUAACGAACACUUCAAAGUUUAAAAAAAUAAAAAAAAAAAUAGCGAGAGCACCUGGUUGCGGGCUUGCUGCAGGAGCUCAAAGUUAAAUUGAUGCUCCUGUCGCCUAUAUAUACGAGCCAGUAGCUCCUUCAUCACAGCAUCAAGAUCACCACCACAAGUGCAUCUGUGCAAAGCGUGAAAAACAGAGCAAAACAUCCUCUGCCUCAGCCCGCGAAGCCAGCUCCUCUCCCCUGUUCCUACUCUGUUUCCCUCACUCACUGACUCACUCGAGAGUUCCUAGUGGAACGCGAGGCUUUGCUCGGGACCCGGCCAUGGUGGCGAUCAAGGCGCCGAGCUCCAUCGACCACGCGAACCCGCUGACCAAGUCCCCCAAGGCCGCAGCAGCAGCAGCAGCAGCGAUCCCGACGGUGGACCUGUCGUCCCCGGGCGCGGCGAGGGCCGUGGCGGAUGCCUGCCGCGGCGUGGGCUUCUUCCGGGCCACCAACCACGGCAUCCCCAGCUCGCUCGCCGCAGCGCUCGAGGCCCGCGCCAUGGCCUUCUUCGCGCUCCCGCACGAAGACAAGGUGGACGCCACCAUUGCCGCGGCCGCCCGGAGGCCCUUCGGGUACGGCAGCAGGAGCAUCGGCUCCAACGGCGACGUCGGCUGGCUCGAGUACCUCCUCCUCUCCCUCGGCUCAAACUCAAACUCCAGCUCCAUCCCAGGAGCUUCCUCCCUCCCGCCAUCGCUCCGGGCGGCGCUGGAGGAGUACACGGGAGCGGUGAGGAACGCGAGCGGGAAGGUGCUGGAGCUAAUGGCGGAGGGGCUGGGGAUGCAGGAGAGAUGUGCGCUGAGAAGGAUGGUGGAUGGAAGCGAGGAAGAGCUUGUCAGGGUGAACCAUUACCCGCCGACCAAGGAAGAAGACUGCGUGGCGGGGAUGACGGGGUUCGGGGAGCACACGGACCCGCAGAUCAUCUCCCUGCUCCGGUCCAACCGCACGGCCGGGCUCCAGAUUAAGCUCCAAGGACCCGACGCGCCAUGGGUCAACGUGGCUCCCGACCCGGAUUCCCUCUUCGUCAACGUCGGCGACUGCUUGCAGGUGCUGACGAACGGGCGGUUCAGGAGCGUGAAGCACAGGGUGGUGGCGCCGGAAGGGGCGCAGGCGUCGAGGCUGUCGGUGAUCUACUUCGGCGGGCCGGCGCCGGCGCAGAGGAUCGCGCCGCUGCCGGAGCUGAUGAGGGAGGGCGAGCAGAGCCUCUACAGGGACUUCACCUGGGGGGAGUACAAGGCGGCUGCCUACAAGACCCGCCUCGGCGACAACCGCCUCGGCCCCUACGAGCUGCGCAACGUCGCAGAUACUAAUCCGACGGCUCUGAUCACCGCCUCCAAGGAACCCACAGCCGCCGAUCACUGCUGCAGCAACAGCAGCAGCAGCAGCGCCGCCUGCGUCGUCGUCCAGCCGCCGCACGUAGCACAAGUGCACUAGCUAAGCUAGCUGAUGUCCGGCCGGCGGCUACUGUCGAUCGUUGGUCGGUCGUUUGAUGUGUAAUCCAGAUGUGGUAACUAAAGCUAGCUGUACGUGUGCCUGCCUGCUUUCCCAGCCCAAAAUUGGCAUGCGCCUGCGAAAAUGCCUCUCCCGCAUGCUCUGCUUCGUCCCGGUUUCAGUUUGUCCUUUCUGGGAAAACAUUUGUAACUUCCGCUAGUAGUAGUAGUAGGCUCGUAGCUGCAAGCCUGCAAGUGUGCUGCACCCUUUUGUCACCGGCAGUUUAACAGCUUGAAUCGCACGCUAUAUGCUGCCUGGUGUACUGUAAAUUAACGGCCCUAUUGUUCCGAUUGUCUUUGUGUGUUACUUACUUCUAGAGUACAAGUUAACUGGAGUACUAAGUGACAACGUUGUAAAAAAGCCCCCCUCUUCGCUUCUUUGGGGCCUUUUGUGCCGUAUAAGAAGUUAAGUACUUCAGAGGAAGAAGGAAACAGUUCAGUUUAGAUUCUACACGGUGCCAACCCCCGAUGCAUCAUCAAGACAUCAAGGUUCAGAUCAGACGACAGGGCUCGAGCCGUGCUCGGUAACAGCUCACGUCCGCUUGUUACAACUAGACGAGCCCCGUACGUUGUCGUGGAAAUUUUUAGUUAACAUACGUGAGCCCACGUUGUUGAGAACAUACAUGAAUGAAAAAUAGCAACAAAAGAGUAUUCAGUGAAAUGUAUAAUGGAAUUGUAUGAUAAAUUAUAGAUCAUUCACUUAGUAAAAAUAGCUUGAUGAAAAAUAGCAUGCAUGCAUGUGCAAAAAAUAUGAGUGUUUCACUAAAUAGAUAUGAACAAAUUAAUAGUGUGAUGAUGUGGCAUGCUUGCAUGUUGAGAGAAAUCAAGUAGCAGUAGCAUGUUCUUCUCCUUAGAUAUGGAAGAUUAGUGCUGUGCGUGGUACGGUUCGAGCUGAUCCAAGAGAAACGUGGUAUCUACGGAUCGGAUGUUCGGUUUACAAAAAAAAUCGGAACAACUAAAUCCUAUCCAAUUGAACCAUUGAUUCACCGGUUCGAACCUUCCUGUUCCUCAGGCCGAGGCAGCGAUUGAUCUCUCCAAUUCCUCGAUUUGCUGCUGCUGCCGCCGCCGCCGCUAAGCCCCACCGUGGUCGCCGCCGCCGUCUCCUUCAGUGCAAGUGAUCACAGUUCGCACCGCCUGCAAAUCCGCUCCCUCCCCACCCCCUCAGCGGCUCGCCGCCUUCAAAGCCGAAGCCAAGACGACUCCGCCGCUAAGACCAUCGGCGGCCGCCUCCGCAUCCCACGCCGCCACCGGGUGGAUUCGUCUCCAUCGCGCCGGCGCCCCCAACUCCCCGCCAACCUCCACCAUUACCCUGCUGUCGAUUCAGCGAGAUUGAAGUUUUUCUACCUCCGUCCCAGGCGCGCACUGCAGCCGAGCAGGCGACGAAAAUAACUCCUCCAUUACCCUGCUGUCGGCAACCUUCUUCGAGCUUUGAGCUAUUCGGCUUUUCCGGCCUGCAGCAGAGCAGCCGACGAGAGCCCUCUGGCAAGACGAAGCAUGCUGUUCUUUUCGGUAUGCAGUAUGCGCAGGCAAUUUAGGUUCGAACCAAAAGAUCCAUUGGAUCGUGUGGAUCACGGAUGCUGCUCCAAUGGAUCGAACCUUUUUACUCCCUUGCACCCUAGGUACGUGAAGUUUGGUGCGGUUCAGAGCCGGUACGAGCCACGCCCACCCCUAGUUACAAUCCGUUUUACUAAACCAACUAGUGGAAUGUCCGUGCUUCGUGACGGCUGAUGUUCAACAUAUAAUGGAAACGAAUAUUGAAAAGAAGGUGCAUAUCGUUUGCACGGAAUACAUAUCGGCCAUACCCAAUUGCUAUGAUAACAAAAUUCGACAAUACCAAAACAUUGAAAAACGACGAUAAAUAAUAUGAGAACUCAAGAAUACAGAACUUGGUUCAUACAUAGGAUGCGGUACAAACAGAUCUAUCUAAAGUACCACAUUAAAUAACAUCAAAGAAAGGUAAACUGGAACCAACCUAUAAUAGGGCAAGCUUGUUCAAGUAUAUUACAAUAAAAAUAUGCCUGGAAGGCAAAUUGGAAACAAAGAUCAUGAUUAGUGACAACAAAAACACUUACCACAUCUAUUAGCUGAUGAAAUGGUAGGAGCAAACCUUCACUAACAGCAUACAAGAACGAUGUCGCCAUUCUCUACAGCCUCCCAGAUAUUUUCAAGCCUCUCAUUCCUACAAGGACUUGAGUUGAUAUUAACAACUGGCACAGUUUGGUACCUCUUUUGUACAGUAGGAUAGAAUCACAUAAGGUAGAUUAUAUGUAUCCUGGAGGUUAUGGUAGAUUAAUAUAGACAACUUGUAACAUAUACAUUUUUAUAUUAGUGAUAUACAAGAAAUGGAAGUUGAAGGACUCAGCUACUUAUGGCUAAUGAAUUUGUUCAGGGUUCAGAAGACCGUAACCGGAUGGUUUGAGUUUCCAACGCAUUUGCAGCAUUGCCUUUUUCAAAUUUUAGUAAGCCCCAAAAUUACACCACUGAAAUUAAGCAACCAAACUCAGUAAAGGGAUACGUUCAAAAUGCAGAUAUUACCUUAUUACAUCCAAACAAAACGUAUGAAAUAUCAUGUUUAUGGGAAUUCCUAGAUUAGUGUGAAUAGUCCCAAGAGGAGCAACAAUAUCACCAACAUCCUCCCCGGAAGGCCGAAACAUGGCCCUUAUAGAUUUGGGAUAACACAACAAACCUACAGAUGCAAAGCAUGACAGUGAAACUUUGCUCAUAUGUCAGCUUAUUAGUGCAACCAGAAAACCAUAAUGCUUUUAGAAAAUAUUGGUCACUUGGAAAAAUAAAUAAACACAGAUUCUAGAGUACUAAGUGACAAUGUGUUACCGGUAUUAUGAGCAGCUCUGCAGAAAUCAAAGUUCAGUUCUCACAAACUCAGCUUCAUAUUUCAGUCUAUUUGUUGUUCACCUUUAACCCCACUUCAGGUGGGUUUCAUUCUCAUGCUUCAUGAUAGCAUAAGCAGCAAGUAUACAGUACCUUAGUCUUAAAAAAACAUAUAAUUUUCUUCCCUGUUACAUUGUGUCGUCAGUGGUGUUCCCCAUAUAAUUGACAUAUAUUCUUUGAACAUUCUAAAAGAAAAAAGGGGAUCAAACUUGUUACACACAUGUUCCCCAAAUAAUUGACUUUCUCCUCUAUCAAAAUCUAUUUGACAGAGAGAAUGGGUUAAAAUUCAGAUAUAUUGCCAGACUUACAGUUGUACAUAAUUGAAGUUAAGAACAAAGCAUUUCAAAAAUAAGAAACAAGGGAAUAUGAAACAUAUGAAAUUUGUAAACAAAGAAUGAGCAAAACAACAAAACAUGUGCAUCCAAAACUUAUUUAUUCCUACUUACUACUUACAUGAAUUAUAUUCUGAGUCUUCUGAGUGAGUUCCAGGUACCAAUGAGCCAAAUGGAAUCACGAUCAAAUUCGUUAGCAAGUGAUUGACGAACCGCCUAUGAUUUAUCGAAAUUAUGUCCAAUUAUGCUAUCUCAGAUAAGCAUCAACAUAAAAAUUUCCUACAACAACCUUCAUUUAUAUUAAAAGAUCAUGCAUUUUACUUGACGCUCUUUUACCAAAAUAUUGCAGUAAUCAAGUCAUGACCCAAAGAUUUCCGCACAUUUUACGGACUACAAAAUUAUAAAUCACCACAUGAAUUUAUUUUGUUUCAAAAUACCGCGCCAGAUUGCCAGAAGACCAUGAGUAAGAAAGAAGUGUCUACUCUUGGCAAAAGUCUAAACUACUCCUAAGUGCCCAUCGAUGGAAGGAAAUCUCAAUCAAUACAGGGGCACAUUGAGGAGUAAGACGGAGAGAGGUAUGGAUAGGGUUAGUUACCUUGAGGUGCUGGAUGCCGAACGAGUGGUCCAUGAGGGCCAGGGGAGAGUAUCCGGCGAUGGAGAUCGCCUGCGCAAGGGACGCCGAUGACUGUCAGCAGCAUGGUGCUGCCCCCGCCAAGCGCAGCCUCAACGGUGGCCAACAGGCGGCGGCGGCCAUCGUCUUCAUCAUCCGCCGCUGCUUCAUGUGUGAGGAAGAGGAACGGCGGAGGGCGCCUGCGCAAGGGACGCCGAUGACUGUCGGCAGCAUGGUGCCGCCCCCGCCAAGCGCGGCCUCAACGGUGGCCAACAGGCGGCGACGGCCGUCGUCUUCAUCGUCCGCAAUUGCUUCAUGUGUGAGGAAGAGGAAUGGCGGAGGGCGCCCACGCGGGAGACACUGAUGACGUCGAGCGCCCCGGUGCCGCCCCCGUCGAGCGCGGCCUCGGCGGGGGCCAACUGGCAGUGGAGGCCGCCAUCGUCAUCCGCCGUUGUGUCGUGCGAGAGGAGGGGCGCUGGUGACGAGACGUCUCUGGAGUAGGGGAUGGGAUGGGGACGAUGGCGGAUCUGGAGGGCUAGAAAGGAGGAGGUGGAUCGAGAGAACGGAAAGAACGGGUGCGUGGAGAACGGUGGAACGUGGUGCGGGAGAGAGGAGCUAAUUACGGCCGUGAUUGAUUGUUGGAUUGUUUUUUUUUUAGGGUUCAGAUAGGGAUGGUUUUCUUGGGGUGCGGGGAUCGGACGGGUGGGACGAGUGCGACGGAUGAACGUACGUACCAAACUCGAAAUUAAGUAGUAGUAAAGAUAGGGUGCUAAAUUAGGCAUUUGCAAUGACAGGUGACAGUUCACGUGGGUGCCAUGCUUUCCUUUUCCGUGACAAAUAGUACUCCCUCUGAUUCUAAAUUCUUGACUCAAAUUUGUCAAAAUAUGGAUGUAUCUAUUCUUAAAAAACGUCUACAUACACGUAAUAUUUUGACAAUAAUUUAGUAUUGGAGGGAGUAGUAUGUAUGUAAGGUUCGUGCUAACCUACAUGUUGACCCUACAAGCAAUUUUUUCUUUGAAAGCAUGCCAAAAUGCCAAAUUAGUCCUUAAAAAAAAGCUAGCCAAAUUAAAGCAUCCGGUUUUGUUCCUCAUCGUUCAUUUCCCUCCCUCCCUCCUUCCCUCCCACCCAUGUUGUCGUACAAUUGUUUUUUUUAACGGGUAAGGCUUCUCAUUUCUCAAAUAAUAGUACAAUUGGGUUUACCUGCCAUUUGCUGCCCAGCCACUAAUUGGUGCUUAUCUUCACGCCUUGUCGCCCCCUUGCAAUGGCAUUCAUCGGUUGGUUAAAAAGGGAAAAACAAGUUUGCAGCACCGGUACAUUUGUACAUCCUUUUCUAUCCACGCAACCACGCGAGGCCGGACGACACGUGCUGAUGCGACUGACGGGAAAGCUGGUUUGGACGGAUGAGCAGAGAGAGAGAACCCGCGCUCGAGCCGCACGUCGGUUUCUUCUUGCAGGAUAAACAUUGCACGUACCAAACGAGCAAAAAUAAGGAACCGGGUGCCAUAUAUAUCCACUCGAUCGGCUCGGACUUUGUCGCCGCCGCCGCGGCUGCUGCUCCUGGCGUCCCGCAGACAGAUUCCCACGAGCCUUGGGCUUCAUCACACGGAUGCCUGUUACCACUCGAUCGACCAGCCCAAAUAGUCUAGCCGUCCGGACUUCGCGUGCGUGCUGCUCAUAUAAUUGUUGGUUGCGUGGGGGCAAUUAUUGACGUACGUGUAGGCGCGCGUACUAGGAUUAAUCUAUCGACGACCACCGUCAUUCACGAGGUCCGGUCGCGUUUGCUAUCGAGCCCAGGCUCCUAGCUAGUUCGACCGGAUAAGGCCGUUCCCGAAUCUAGUCUCAGUGGCAGUAGAAGAACAGUAGCAGCAUUCUGGUGUGUUCUCUGCCAUUGCUCAUGGGGAAAUAGCGGUGUGGUUGAUCUGGUGGAUUUUUGUGCGGAACCCGACAAGCAUGCAUAUUAAAUGGCUUAAAUUUGUCAAAUAAAUAUAAAUGCAUCUGAAACCAAAACGGGACGGAGGAAGUACCAGUAGUAUAAAAGAACUGUGCACAUAAUGCAUGGACGAUGAAAUGGCCUCACAUGGCGAUCGACCGCGCGCGCUUAGGGCGCCGGCACACGUAGAAGAGAGCCUCGUGCUCGCGCGCGAGCUGAGCAUAUAGCACGUACGGUCCGAGCGGCGUCCCGGGCGGGGAUCUGCAGCCUAGGCCUGUCCGGGGCGCCGUCGCAUCGGUCGAUCCAUCGAUGGCGGGACACGGGACACACUGCACACAGCACGAACACGUGCGUGCAUGCGCUAGCUGCAUAUGCCAAAUCUGGUCUCGGUUCACGUUGGUACGUACGCGCUCGAUUGAUCGAUCGAUGGACAACUGACGUAUCGAUUCGAUACGUCAGGGAGGGCUACGUACGGAAAGCUAUAGCUAGCGGGGCCGCCAGAAUCGAGCAGGGGCUCGAUCGAUUCAGAUUCGAUUCGAUCUGGGGUCGAGAAAUAUGUGUGUGACUAGCUGCUGCUAUACGCACGUGCAUAAUACUACUGGUAUGCUACACUUCUCGUUAACUAAGAUGAUCUAUCAGCCGGAGGUGGCCCGUUAAAUUGAAGAGAGGGAGAGAGAAACGUUCAAACUGAAAGGAAAAAAUGGUGUAACUAUUUUCAAACAAAGGUAUUAAAUGUCGAUGGACAUGUCAGAGACAUCGGAUCAAGAUCCGAGGGUCAUCCACACUUUCCCCUCCGUAACGUGUUAUCGCUGGAUUAAAAUCUGACGACCAACAGGGGCGGAGUUACAGCGUAGACAUUGGGUUCAGAUGAGGAAUUGGAUCCGAGCCUACACAUAUGAACCCCAUGAUUAUAGUGUAAUGAACCCAGUGGUUUCCUUUUCUGGCUCCACCCGUGACGACCAAUCACGUCGACUUGUCUCUAACUAAAAAAAUACAGACGACUUCUUAAUAGCAAAACAUGAAAAAGGAAUAUAAUGUCUCUGUAAAAUAUAGAAAGACGUGGUUCUCCGUUAAGAUGUUGUGGUUAUUUCUCUUCUGUCAGUUGACCAUUUUUGUCCCCGUCUGAUCCAGCGCCGCUCCGUUACCGUACCAUGUUUUUUCACGUCAUUAUCCGUCCGUAUUCCUUAUUUGUUUUUGCAUUCAUAUCAUGUCCGUGCCGCUUCCAAACCAAUGGAAAUUGUGAAAUAAAAUAUGGUACUAUAUAAAAUCAUUAUCCGGUCCCGUUUUACAUAUAUGCUAUAUUCCUCAAGUAUGUACAUCGAUCGCGGUCUUGUAUGAUUCAAAAACAAAAACGAAAUAUCAGUAGAGAGCAAGCGUACAUGCACACGCAGGAUAUGCUUUCGUUGGUUAAUUCGGUGUACGUACGGACCACCGCGAUGUCUCUGCGCCCGUCGACGUCACACACGCUUACGUGAGUGCGUGCGUACAGUCGGUGAUUAAUCGAUCCGGAAACGUGCCAAUAUAGUCUGCAGCCGCGCCGGCUUUUUAUACUCCCUGCAAUCAAUGCACCCGGCCCUCUCGUUUCGGCCGAAAACUGCAUACCACGCUCGAUCGAAUCAUCCAAGUAUACAGAUACACACAUGCUUCUCGAUGACUCGAUCGAUGGACUUACGGUAUAAUCGUACAGUAGUUGCUUUCGCUUCCAGACGUAGGUACACGGAACGACGAACCGGGAAAAACGGCCCUCCUGCUCCUGGCUUGGAAUCAUUCCACCUCUGGUGGAAAUCCUGGACCACCCGUACGUCCAUAUGCUCCCUUGCGAGUUGCAGACACGUUAUACGUACUCAUGUAAUCGCUCCGUUUCAUAAAAAUUGACACGAUUUUAAAUCAGAACUAAGUUAAAAUCAUGUCAAUCUUCGUGAAACGGAGGAAGUACCUGACAGGAAUGCAUGCAGGGAUCAGGCACUCCAGUUUGGAGUUGGAACGGGGCACACAUGUGGAAAAAGUUUCGAACUAACAAGGUGGCGACUGCGACCAAAGCCAGAACCAUUUUUUGUCGAGCACGAUCGAUCGACCUGCAGCGCCAGAGCCACUAGAGGGCCCAGAUCAGCUUGCCCCGCCCCAAUUCCAUGCGUUCCGGUUGUUUCCUUUCGAGCCCCCUGCCCCAGUUGCCUGCCCUUUUAUCUCUCAGCGAUCAGUUACGUUCAUGCAUUCUUGGCCACACGUACCUACACUACAAUCGGUACUACUACGUACAUGCGAGAUAGCUAUGUCCCGAUCGAGCCUGCAAUUAACGGCAACUCGACCGAUCAAUCUGCAAGUAGAGACAGUAAUCUCGAAUUUGGUUCAAAAGCAGGCAGCGAAUCCUGGAACGACCAAGUUACACGGUACUCCUAUGUAAGCUAGUACUAGUACAACUAGUAGCAUGCCACCGGUGGAUCACUCACCUGGGGAUACAAAACCGUUCUCCUUCGAUUAGAGUCGUCUGCAUUAUUGACAGUUUCGAUGGACCAGGCAGACAGAAGCAAAGCCUGGAUGCGCGCGGGAUCCACUUGUCCAGCAAAAGGGCACGAAUCGGGGAGGUCACAGGACUUAAACAUACGAUAGGCCACGCGAGCCAAAGGCGUGCCGUACUGUGCUGCCCCUGCCUGGCCUGUCGUGUGAUGUGACAGAAAAAAAUUAAAGGGAGCGGCGAACCUGCGUUUCAUGAUCAUUGAUAGAUGGAUGGGUGGAUCGAGCUAGUAUUAAGCUGGUUGUGGUGUGUGUGUGUGGAGGGGGGUCUGUCUUUGAAAAGUCGACGCUGCAUGCGGACGUUCAGUUUCAAGUGGCGUGCAAGAUGUUCCUAGUGAAAAUGUGAAAUCAUGGGGGAAAUAGGCGAAGUUUGCAGGGUUGAACGGCACACCGCGUUUGGCUGACGGCUCUAUGCGCGGAUAUGAUGUUUUCUUUUUAACGAAUAUUCUGAUAUUUUUCAAUACCAAAACCGUAUUCGGAGUUAGCUGGCGUCUGAAUUUUAAACAGAAGACUUAAAUCUCCGGACUCUUGAAUUAAGAUCUAAGUGUCAUCCCCACUCUCUCUUCUCCCGCAUGCUGUUGUUGGAUUAAGAUCCAAUGUUCAAACACGUCAGCUGAUCGCUAACUAAGAAACAAGCGACUUCUUAAUAGCAAACCGUUUUCUGAAUCCCCACAUUCGAUAAUAAAAUUCCACCGGGAACCUACCAUGCUGUAUGCAGAUAUCGACCUUCUUUUUUUGGAUUGUGAUAAGUGUAUUUUCAUAGUUUAAAUAUUGUUCACGGUGCAAAUUCCGCCCUUGCGUGGCGGGUUAUUGGACAUUCAACUGUGGAUACCGAGCUUAGCAAAUUUUUGUCGAACUCUUUUUGGAAUGGAAUGGAUUAAUACAAUUUGACUAAGAGUCAUCAUUUUUAUGGUUUAGGGUGGUGGCUGCACCCCAAAACCUACCAAGGAUCGAACCCCAGGUUUGACCCUCGGCGUGUCUCAUUUGAGCCGAAUUUCUUUUGGCAGUAGGAGAUGCAAUCCGUUCACGCUUCACACUGAAGCGUCAGUGACUUCGUCGAUCUCAAAACGUUUUCACGAUUCUGGUCAUCCGUGUGAGUGUGUGCGCACGGCGGUGUACGUCGUGUGUGAUCAUUGUUCCUAAAAUAAAGUACUUCCUUCGUCUAACAAAGGAUGUCUGAAUUUUGAUUAAAUUUGAAUGCAUCUAUACAUCAAGUCAUGUCUACAUACAUCAACAUUUUGACAAACUUGAGACAUCUUUUGCUGGACGGUGAAAGUAUAGGAGCCCGGGAAUAGCCGCAUCUUAUUACAAGCAAUUAAUAUUUCGACCCUGAACCAGUUUGAGCUUAACCCCAGUGGAUCGGAAUCGGGUUCACUGAGCGAGCGAGCGCUCCAUUACAGAUUUUUACAGGCACUGAGGCACCGUCUCUUCCUGCUGCCCCCCUCCGGGGAGCUAGCUGCGUGCUAUGGACCGCCCAUUCGUGGAACGGGCUGUACCCACCAAUACCUACGUACCUGCGCGCCUGCCAUGCCACCCCUCUGCCACGGGGGGCUGUCGGCUCCAAAGAAUCAUGCAAUAAUUACCAGCUUCUUCUAUCGGCGGCAUACAGAGGAGAGGAUUGAGCUUUUGAGCAUCUCGUGUGCAGAGAGAAUCUCUCUGCCCGUUCGCGCCAGGUGGAUGUAUUUACUUGCGCCAGGAGCAAACGAGCAACUCGUGACCGCCUACGCACGUUUCCCCGACUAGACAAGUCAAUUGGUGAAAAUUGGUGAAAUUGGCAGCUAGCUUAUUUAUCCCUUUAUCCAUUCGCACCCACCCCACCCCGGCCACCCUCCGCGCUGCGCAUGCAUGCAUGUCCUCGUGGGCUCUCGAGGACUUGAAGUACGUACGUCGCAUGCAUGCAGAUAAGACGGAGCUAGAGAGAAAGCCUCUUCUUUUCGCUCGUGGCCCGGCAUGUGCAUGCCAAUGGCAAUGCCAGCGUCCCAGUCAGCUACUCUCUCCGUUCCAAAUUCUUGCCUCAAAUUUAUCCAAAAAUAAAUAUAUUUAUUUUUUAAAAACGUUUAUAUACAUGUAAUAGUCCGACAAAAAUUAUGAAACGGAAGGAAUACUGACCAUAGCUAUGGUCAGUACAACUCCUAGUGACAAGUGCAAGCAGGGGAAGUUCAUACUCUAUGUGGGAGGUGCAAUGCAUCUCUCGCUCUAAAGACGUGGUACUCCUAGACUACAGGACUACCACGUACUGGAUUCAUCGAGAUGUGAUGGAACGGUGUACCAGGGUGCGUGGCAUGCAUGUAGACGCCGGGCCGAUCGAUGUAUGUCGAGAGCGGGAUAUGGACAACGAAAAAGGGUGUGGGCAGGGUAGGUGUUCGAUCAAAAUCCACGGACAGUUCCAAACUGAGGAGACCAUGGGGAAACUACUGGACAUCGGGGGUAUAGUGUUCACGUGACGUCAGAACUGGGGAGAGCUACACAACCUCAAGUCGUCGUCUUCUGGUAAGCAAGAGGACCCUUGUUUGGGAGCGCAAUGCAAGUGCAGAUGUUGUGCAGGCGCAGCAGAGACGUGACCCUUGCAGAAGAAAACGCGAAGAGCCGGGUAUAGUGGAUAUGUGGAUGCGUGAAUUAUCGUGGGCCGGGCCGCUUCAAAGCCUGGUAACGCGUGUCGUCGUGGCCUGGCCCAGAUUAUGCUGCUCAUCCGUCCAGCUCGCAAUACAUGAAGAGAAGUUCAAAAACCCGCUGUCCACUUUUGCAUUUAUCCAACGUUUCCUUGAUGAUUUGUCUCUCAUUCGUGAUGUUGUCCAUGCUGUGACACCGGAGCCUCCUCCUGGUGGUGGUCGCCUUGUCCCGCCCACCAACCGCUGGUCUCCUCCGUCGGCUGGUAUGUGUAAAAUUAAUGCGGAUGCUGGAGUUGCAAGGUCAGGUGCAGGUGGUUCUUGUGCUGCGGUCUGUCGCGAUGAAUGUGGAAGAUUCAUGAGAGCCUCUUCGAUUACAAUCGAGGGCAUGACCGACCCUACAAUACUUGAAGCAUUGGCAUGUAAUGAAGGCUUGUCUCUGGCCUUGGACCUUAACAUCUCAAAAGUUUGUGUUGUUUCGUACUGCUUAACGGUUAUCAAGAGUCUACAACAAGAUGAUCUUUGCUAUUAUAGUGCGAUCAUUAAGGAUAUUGUGGCAAGGAAGGAUCAGUUCCGUGAUGCUGUUUUCAGACGUGAGAAGAGAACUCUUUAUAGAGAUGCUCAUAAUCUAGUUAGAGCGGAGUUACCGCUUUCUGUUGGCCAUCAUAUUUGGCUUUUAAGUACCCCAUGCAUUACUUGUAUUCCUGUUCAAGUUGGUGUUGAAUAAAGCUGGCCUUUCCCCUAAAAAUAAAAUAUCCGUCCAGCAGAACUGAAUCCCCAAUAGCGCGGUUACAAGACAAGAAUGAUUAUGUAAUUAUGUUCCUUGUUAUCGUUUCACUUUGCACCACAGAAAGAGUGCUCUGUUUGGCUCCACCAAGGCAAAAGGAAAGAGAAACAGGAACCGAGGAGUGUCUCAUUGUCAAUUACUAAUUCAGCCAACGAACCCAUAAAACAUGUACCGACGCAAAUGCAAUUCAUCAGAAGUGUUCUUCAAGGAAGAACACAGACAGGGUAUCGGACUACCGGUGACUAUGUUUGGAUAUCUUACAUGCUCAGAAUGCUGCGGGCGAGUUAACUGGGAAAUAAUUGAAGAUGAAGAAAGGACACAGCAAGUUACAUAAGCGGCAACAGAUUUUGCUAGAGUGGCACAGCAGUGGCAGGUGCUGGAACAUGCACCUCAAAUACAAUCAGGAACUCGAACUGUUUAUAGCUUUGGACACUUUCUUCCAUCGCAAAACACUUCGAGUUUGUUCUUAUCAAGCAAAUGGUUUUCGAUUAGGCCCAGAUAUGACAUGGUGUUAUUACAUGCAUAACAGCGCUGGCUUGUCAAGCACCACUGGCAUACAGGCGAGUCCACUCCUUCGCUGCAAAGCAAAAAAAAAAUUGACAUGUUAGGUACAAAAAGCAAUGAAAAGUGGAGCAAAAUGACAUGCUAGUGUAUCAAAGUGCAGUGUUAGCGUGCGGCUUUGUUGGCUGAAUUUUCAGUUACCUGUCUCGACAGCUUCAGCUUCAUUGGAUUUCCAGUGUUUUGCCACGUUUUCUGAGAGCGGAUCAUCUGGAUUCGGAGCGCUCAGCAGUGCCUGAAUGCUGCAGACCAAACAUUGUAAAGAGGCAAAAAAAAAAGAGUAUACAAUAGUGGAUACAAGAAGCAACCCUCUGGAAAUACGAUAAUAUGAUACGAUCAUGAACUAUAAUGAAACUAUUUGGCCAAACAUGCCACGGAAGACAGAAGAGGUUGCUACCUCAAAAGAACAGUACGUAUCUGAAGAGCUGGGCUCCAUUUGUCCUUCAGGAUAUCGAGGCAUAUCCUACCAAGCUGCAGUGCAAGUCAAUCCGAAAUGAGAAACUGUUAUCGAAUGAAGUUCCAUUGAGAAUAUCAGUUCCCUACCUUGUCAAUGUUGGGAUGGUAUAUUUUUGUGAGAAACCUAACCUGCGUCAGGAAUAACCAAAGAGUGAUGUCCAUCAGAAAGAAUCACAACAGAGACAACAUACAGAAAAGUCAAAUAGAAUUGUGUAACUACUUUGGUUAGACGACAGUGUCACACUAAAACUAAAACAACCAUGUUGAUAUCCGUAAGAGUAAAACAGUCCAAGGACAGGAGUUGAGAACAAAAUAUUCAGCUACCUCUUAUUUAACAUGAUGGAAAUUACUACUCCCUCCGAUCCAUAUUAAUUGUCGAAAUAUUACAUGUAUCUAGACAAUUUUUUAGCCAUAGAUACAUCCAUAUUUGGGCAAAUUUGAGACAAUUAAUAUGGAUCGGAGGGAGUAUUAGUCUGAGUCUCAGAUGAUAUAUCACAAUGUCAGUACACUCCAAAUAUAGCAUUGCCAAUUAAGUAAAGUAAAGUACGGAACUGUGCAAAGGAGAUUAGUUAAGUGAACGGAGAGAGAAAUCUAGUAUGGAUACGAAAAGUAUUAACACAAUACUAAACAUGGGCAUUCAGUAUUCCUGAUCACAAAGAUGGUAUGCAAAUCUAUUAAUGGUACAUAUCAACAACAAACAUGGGCGCUGCCCAAAAUAAGAUGUCACAAUAAAUUGCUGGUUUCGGUUAACCACAGGCAUAAUUAAACGUCCAUCCCACUGUCGCACCAUAGCAUGAUAAAAUCAUUGCGAAGAUCGCUCUGCCAGAUUUUGAACUCAAAUUUCAGUUACAACUUACAACUAGGAAAUGAACCAAAUUCCACAUCAAGGAGCCUACCGGGACAAGAAAAUCCAUCACAAUAUGUGUCAAACUAAUAACUUCUUAAACAACCAUCCACUAAUACUUGAUCAAAAAAUUACUUUUGGAGCAGCCAUCGGAUAUUCCUCAGGUAAGAAAAGUUCAAGCUUGAAAACUCCACCUGUCCAACACAUAUUAGAAGAAAUAUCAGGAGGACCAGACACAGACAACUAAACAAAAUAAUGUUUCACCCAAUUAAAAAUGUCAUAAGCAAAUACAGUAUACAAAGAUAAGUAAACCAAGCUUAAAUAAAUAAGAUAACAUAGUGACAAAUGUACUGUCUAACAAUAGGAAAACAGGUCGUUCUGUGUACCAUUUAUCAUAUACAUGCACCGCAUUUCAUUACUCCAUGUUGCAUGGAAACAUGGUAGAUAGUUCCUUGUGCCGUAUAUCAGUAAACUUCAGUAAUCGCAAAGGUUAAGGAAACCCAAGACAUUCAAUUCCCAUAGGUUACUGAUAUAUGGUACAGUUGUAGAUCUAGCAUGUUAAGGAAACUACAAACUUGUGCCCCAUAUCAUAUCUAAACUAAUAGCAGGUAUAACUGUUGAAGUAUAAGGUGAAUUGCCCUCAUUUCUCCAUCAGCUUAGGCUUUUAGGGGCACUGGUUCGGCCCAUAUGCAACUCUCCAUGGUAUCCGAGCCAAGAGGUCCCGAGUUCAAGCUCAAUAUAAUAAAAAGGCACUUUUGAUCCAUGAGGGGGAGUGUUGAAGUACGAAAUGAAUUGCACUCGUUUCCCCAUCAGCUUAGACUUUUGGGUGAACUGGUUCGGCACAAGCAACUCUACAAAAGGCAGUCUUCCUAUGUGGAAUAACUUCUACAAAUAAAAAACCAGGUUCACUAGAGCUUAAGAUAACCGAUGAAAUGGACUUGUCAAGCUAUAUUUUGUGAUGGAUUCAACAAAGCAGAAUCUCAAAGUAUAGAAUCCAAAAGGCACAGAAGAGUACAAUUACCACUGGAACAGCUGGGUACAAGAUGGUCGGAUUGCUGGUCUAGCAAACAUAAGUUUAGAAGUGUAUAGUUCCGGCAGCACUAGAACAACACCUUUAUGUGACCAUCCUGAUAUGAUCAUCCAUCUGUGAUGUUUUACUACAUAUUUGCAGCAUUUUACAAACAAAAAGAGCCAUAGAUACGAAAAUGGGGACGCGGUGACCACAGUUACAGUCCUAAAUUGCCACAGAACUACGCAUUCGUGCUCCAAAGUAUUACAGGGUUAUCGGCAUACGAAACAUUCCAACAGAAAUAAAAUGAAAAGGAGGUUUUACCUUCAUAAGGAGACUGCGCCGGACCAAGGACCAUGACAUUGAAGUAGCGCAUGUUCUCCUCCGACGGCGACGCGCUAAUCCCCGGCGCUGCACGCACCCCCCCAACACACGAAUCAGCACAAACAUCCGAGGCUCGAACGCGGACAACACAACAGGAGCAUCGAAUUCUAGGAAAACGAACCUGGUUCGCUGAGCAGCCGCUGCGUCUCCUGCAGCAGAUCCAAAUUCCGAACAGAUUAGGCACCACGCACAAGGAAUAACCAGACGAUAAGGUUAUCAUAUCGCGUUAGAGUCUCAGAAACGGCUGUAGAUCUGGGGGGGUGAGGGGCGAUCGGAUCGCGGGGUAGGGCGCGCGCACCUUGAUGAUCCGGCGCGGGAGGUUGCUGUUGGCCAUGGAGUCCGGCCGGGGCUGGAGCGAGAGCCUAGAGGGGAGGGGGGGAGGGACCGCCUCGAGCUUCGCGCGGCGACGGAGGAGAAGACAGCGCGAGAGAGGUCAAAGGAGUCGUCGAUCUGUCGGGGAGGGCGAGCCGGGGGAGGAGGCGACGAACGAACAGAAAUGGGUCAGGGUCCGAUACUGUGUACCACGUAUUUAUAAACUCCACGCUACAGCCGCUGCUGCUGAUAUUUUCCUUUUCCUCUUGAGCUGGUGUUUUCGUUUUAUACUCUACCGACCUGUUUGUUUGUCCUUCUAUUUCAGUUUUUUUGCAUCUGGCAAUCUUAAAAGCAUCUUUUCUGUUUACACGUGAAGCUGAGAGGCACCUCCGAACAUGCUAAACACUGUUUACACAUGAAGCUGAGAAGCACCUUCGGACGUGCUAAACAGAAAAAGUGCUUUUGAGAUUGCUAAAAGUACCAAAAACUGAAACAGAAGUCCAAACAAAUAGGCCCAGAGUCUGCUGGAUUGUGAAUUUGAAUACGCACACGGCGAAAUCAAAAUACGAAGUCAUGGCCACUAUGUUUAAAAUAAAAUUCGUGUACUUGGACAAAACAGAAGUUGUUCGGUGAAUAAAAAAACCCUAGAAAUGAUUUUCCGACGUAAUAAACGGUAUAAUAGUACUACUAGUAGUACGAGGGCUGCUGCAGCGGAGAUUAAAAAAAAACGGUGUUCGUUUUAGGUGAGCCAGGGAGAGCAUCUCUCCACGCGAAGGGAGCACACAAUUUAUGCAUGUGCAGAGAGAGAGAGCACGGAGAAGAACAACCUUUGGGUUUGCCUAAUUGCAACGGCCAACUUGUGACUUUGUGUUGUGCGCGCUCGUCGUGGAAGGAUCUCAGGCGAAAAGGAAGGUGGGGGAAAGCUCGAUUAUUCUCCGCAGCUUCAAUCCCACGCUAAGCCGCCUGGUCGAAAAGGUUUGGCUGGCCAAACCGGUUUUGCAUGGUACUCCGUAACAUGUUUUUCAAGUUUUUUAGAACUUUGGAGGAACUCGAAACAAAUUGAGAGCAUACGCUUUCUAAGAGUUGAAAAGUAUUAUUUUCGAAGCACGGGCAGUCGGGCACGGGCAUCAGAGCAUCUCCGUUGCCAGUCGCUCGAAGCGAAGAGAAAUCACGCACUUCCUCUGCUACCGAAGCGAAGGCAGGAACAAGAACAACAGCGACGAGACACAGCCAGAAAUUCGGCAUAGUAUUUGCUCAGGGCUAGAUUCCACUGUAUUCGCUGUAAUCUGGUAAAGCAUGUCGCAUGUGCCCAGACUACAGGAGGAUUUCAAGACAAGUAUCCAGUCCUGUCUUAUUUACAACAGAUAGCGUGCAAAACUAUGCUCAAGAAUCAAGAUAGAUAAAUAACACUGGAUUUCCCCAGUACUUGCUACUUCACCGAACUACGGAGUACAACUGGUAAAGAAUAGUUUCACAAGUCGGAUCCUGAGAUCACAAUGAAAGAGAAGAUACAACAGGGAGUAUUAAAUCUGCACAUGAUCACAAGGAAAUCCAGAUGCACAUGAAUCCAGACAAUAGGAAGAACAGGGAACAGUUUGACAUAUUUUUUCUAAUAAAACAGAAGGUCAGAGUUGCAUGCCUACAUUGUCAACAAAAUAAUAGAUGAAUUGCACGAACAUACCUCAACGACUCAAUGUCAACAUGGAUUUACACUAACAAUUUUUAGUCUUUGACCUUUCAUACUCUUCAGAAUUAAUUAUUACCAGACUAAAAACUACAAUGCACCUAAGAACACGAGCUUUCGCUUCAGAAUAUCCCAAGGAUGGUGGGGGCAGGUGGAGCACGCCAUCAUUGGAGAGCAAGAGCAACGCCAUGUCAUUAACUGAUCAUCUUCAAAUGAUAAUCUGUAGAAGAGACAAUGGACAAGAGUCAAUUGAUCGCUUCACCAAACAGUAACAUUACAAAUUUGCUAUACAGGCUCCAAACAAACUGAUUUUCUAUCAGUCUACGCUUAAACAUAGCAGUUAACAGGGGCAAAGCUUAACACAGGCCCAUCAGCAAUCAUGCAGAGAACAAGGCAAGGCAGAUCAUCCAUGGGAAUCACACAACAAUCCACAAGGAAGCAUGCAUUACAUUCUUUGGAAAGCCAAUCAAGAGAAAUCUGGGUUCAGCGAUCGGAAAGAUUUACAAUGGAUAAGAUAUGUCAAAAUUUCAGUACUGGAAACUUCAGUUACAAAGCAAUUUGAUAAAUCUUACAUGCCAAGACAAGUAUAGAAGAUAUAUCUUUAUAUAAUAAUACUGACUCGUAAUUGUUAGGCUUACAGCAAAAAAAAGGUUAAGUUUCAUUAAACAAGCUUAUUUAUCGGUCUCUGAGGAGCUGGGUUACCUGUAGAUAAAUGGGACCAGAAACUAAGAGGUUACCUGUUGACUCAAGCUUAUGCUUAUUUUGGCGAUACACGUACUCUUAGGCUGGACAUAAUUCACCCUAACGAUUCUCACUAAGACAUGAGAAAGGAAUUCUAGUACGGAAAGGAAGUGAAAACCAGCGCAUGUGCAUCCAAGUGACUCCUAGUGAAACAGCACAGAGAGUGUCCCAGAUCGAUUUUAACUCUGAGUCACCAAGUGGUUCGUCGGUAUCAAUUUGAUCCUAACAGAUUCCAGGCAAUACCAUCAUAUGUCACCCAGUCAUGAUUUCCAGGAAAAGAAUAUAAGUAUUUUCAUCAUACAGACAGAAUUGAAGAAAAACUAUUAUUAGACCAUACAUUAUGGUCUUUCAUUUGUCAUGACAAAAAUGUACUCCCUCCGAUCCAUAAAAGGUGACGCCCAUUUUGUACUAAGUUAGCACAAAUUUUGUACUAGGUGGGCGACACAUUUUAUGGAUCGGAGGGAGUAAUAAGAAACACUAAAAGCUCAAGAUAGAAACUAUGAUUAGUUAGUUCAAUCUUUUAAUAACACCUAUGACAUAACAGAGCUGCACAAUUAUAAUUCUGUAAAUUUUAUCACACCCAAAAACCCAGAGAACCAAACGAUAAGAUACAUAAGUACUUAAAUCUACAAUCAUAACGAGAUGGUCAACAUAUCUCAUCAAUGCACAAAAUUAAAUAGAAAAACACACGACGAAAACAUCCACCAAACAUUAUCUACUGAAGACACAAAAUAUAAAUAGAAUCUCACAAAGCCUACACCAGGAUAGAUCUUAUAUGUGAAUAUCAAUGCUCAACAGGACCGAAAGCCUUAUUUAUGAAGGUUAUCGCACAUUUGGGCUAAGGCCAUUGUAACAUAAAAUAGUCCAAAAUGCACAACAUAUGGGGUGGUCGGACUUCGGCAACGAAACUUCAGACAUACUCGCUAGAUUUUCCGAAGCAACAGUAUCUAAACUUUUUUGUUGCUAAUCCUCCGCAGCAACUCGAGCCAAUUGUUUACCAAGAUCCUUAUCGAGAUUAGCUAGAUUAUUAAACCUUGACUGUAGAUAAACGGACAUGUAUGUAACAUAUUGCUCAGAACAAUCAAGUCGGGCUCACCCAAGCUUGUUUACACCCAUAUGAAGGAAAGGCUUAUUGAAUUGCAUUGUCAGGAAAUCAGCACUUCCCCAAACAAACUGAAAGUACCUUUAUUCCACAACCUAUAAACAUCAAUGGAUAUACUCAGAACACAACAGCUUACAUGUGUGGACCUUCCCACCAUUAAGGCCAAACAUAGUAACAAUAAGUUCCACUUAUUAAAAUGUCAUUGUAUACAAGAAUGUCAGAUUAAAUUAUGCCUCUACACAAGCAUACCAAUCCUGUCACUAUCACUGAAAGUCUGAAACAUUAACUAACAGCCAACAUCAUGCCACAUAACUUGUAAUUUUAGCACAUCAACAUUAGCAUUACAGAAACAAUAGUAGCCACAGAUCACAUAAACGAACAAAAACAAUCUACAGCAAUGUUCUAAACUGAAAUGCUAAAACAUACUUUACCUAAAACCCUCGUCCGCAUCAGAGGUAAUUGGAGUUGGAAAGGAAAGGCAGCGCAGCAACGGAUGAAAUCAGCUCCACUCCACCAGCACCAUUGGAUGCAGCCCCUCCGCUCUUCUUCGUGCGCUUCACCCUUGCGAGCUUCACGUGCGCAUCGACGAAGUUCUCCAUGCGCUUCACCUCCAGCUGCUUCAGGAAGUCAAUUCGCUCGCGUUCCAUCUCUAGCGAAUGCUUUUGUUUCGCACUCUCCACGCGCUCAUACAUCUCUGCAAAAGCCUCAAUUGCCCUCGCCAGCUCGCUGACACCACUAUCCCCAUCACCGCCAGCCUCGCGACGAAAGGGACGCUUGUUGCUACCGCCGGAGCGCGCCGACGAGACAGAACGCGACGGUGACCUCCGCAAGUUGUCAUGGUGGUUGUUGUUGUUGUUACCACCAGGAUGAUCACCAGAGUCCUCCGAAUCAGACACCGCUGCAGCGGCGGCAGCGGCUUCCUGCUGGAUGAACGCAGCGGCAGGGAGCAGCGCCCCGCGGCGGUAGCUGGGGAGGGGCAGAGCCAUGGGCGGGGGCGGGGACGGCGAGGAAGAAGGCGACGGGUACUUCCUCGCGGCGGUAGAAGAAGGAUGGACGGGCAGGGCGAGGUGCGGGGCCAUCGCCGGCGAGGGCCGCUUGUUGGCGGCGGAGUUGAGGGUGGGGCCGACGAGUCGGUCGAGCUCGUCGAAGAAGCUCCAGCCCGACGGCGCGCCGCGGACGCGCUCGGCCUUGUACUUCUUCUUGAGGGUGUCGACGCGGUUCUUGCACUGCACGUCGGUGCGCGGCGGGCGGCGGCGCGCGGCGGCCCCGCGGCGCGAGUUGACGGCGUUGGCCACCUCCUGCCACUGCUUCUGGCGCAGGUUGCCGCGGUUGAGCUCCACGUAGCGGCUGCCCCACGCGUCCACCAGCGCCGCCGUCUCGCCCUCGCUCCAGCAGUCCUCCCGGUAGGGCAGGUUAGGGUUGGGCGGCGGCAGCCUCCCAAACCCUCCCCCUCCUCCUCCUCCCCCUCCUCCCGCCGCCGCCGCAGCAGCAGCCGCAGCCAUCUCCCUCACCUCCAUCGGAACCAGAUCUCGCAGGAGCAAACCCUAACCCUAGCUAGCCCGCCCGCCGAGAGAAGAGGACCGAGCGAGCCUCGGGGAAGUCGCGCGUGACGGUGGGCUAUGUGAGCGGUGGGGGGUUCGGGGUUGGAAUAAAAGGACACGGCGAGGGAAGGGGGGAGGUGGGGUCGCCGGCCGCGAGGGGUCCGGGUUCCGUCCGUCACGCACGCGGCACGUGACGCGUGACCGGCGAGGGGGGGGCGGCAUCGGCAUGGCAUAUCUCGCUCGCUCUCGUGUGUCGUGGGUGACCGGAUUCGGAUCGGAGACGUGCCGCCGUUGGAUUGCGUUUGACCGGGUAACCGGCGAUUACUUUCGGGUUUCGGAGGGCGGGUGGGAUAAUGACAGCCAGCCAGGCACAGGCAAAGCAGAGCGCGGCGACAGGCGACAGCCGGAGACCGGACGGAAUACGGUGGCUGGCGCGGGGGUGGGAAAUUACCGCGUUGCCCCUACCCCGGGGAGCAGGCCGGGGCGGCACGCGGCAGGGGCAAGGCGGGGAUUUCGCGUGGGGCGGCGCGGUGUCAGGGGGUGAGCUGGUCGCCGUUGGUCGGUUUGCGUUUCGGGGCCGCCGAAAGAGGGGAGAGGAGAGAGAGAGAAACGCGCCGAGGAUGAUGGGGAAGGGAGAGGAGACUCGCGAACCGAAGACACCGCUGCUCCUCGCUCUGUACUCCAGUCUAGGCUUCUAGCUAGACUCGGCGCGGUGGAGUGGGUGGGUGAAGAGACUGAGGCGCGGGGCCCGCGUGCAAGCAGGCAGGGCGGGCAAUUAUUGUCGCCUCUGGUGCCGUCGCUCGGUACAGAGGACGGACGGACGGACGGCGUGGGCAAAAUUUAAUCGGCGUGCAGCAGGUGCCGGCUGCCGCCUGCAGGCGCCGGUCCUUCGGAUUGAUCGGUGGAUGGAUGCACUCGCCAAUGGCAAUUCAUCCAUCAAACAUCAUUCGUUACUGUAUAUUUUGUGGCAAAUCAAGAUUAGAGGUUCAUCAUCCGUUUACCGUUUUGGUUUGUCCCCUGGCGUCAUCAUCACCGUCUGGGCUUUGGAACUGACAAUAUGGUUCUUUCGGUGAAAUUCAGGUGAAAGUAAAACUCCACCGGUAGAUAGCAGCGGCCAUGGUGCCGUCGUGGGAACAGAGCAGUACGUACGUUACGGGCUCGCGUCAAAUCCUCGACGGAACCGUGCCCGCUGCACCGGUGGGUGAACAGAACACCAUAAAUCCCUCGCGGCCGUGGAGAGAAGUCAGGGGAACCGCGUGUACGUACGUGGUCCUCUCCUGCUAGCUAUAGCUAGGCUGCCCCGUGCGACCGGCGGCGAGGAAACGGCACGCUCGGGAGCCGUCAACAUUGAAUCGGAGGGCCGGGCGGCCGCGAUAGCGUAGCGACCAGCGAGAUACUCAGUCAGUACGGGCUACUUCGGGCUGUCACGCACGCACCGAGCCGGACGGCCGGGCCGACGCGUCGGGCUUGGGAACCACCGGCGCCGCAGGGGCGGGCUCGGACCGCGUCCAACGCCGCAGGCUUUGCAAAGCUUGCGUUGCGUGUACCCCACGCUACCACGCGGGUCCCCUCCACCAAUCAAUUCCAGGCCGGACGGACGGCCGGUACCGUGUACCGACGCGUCGCCCGCCGGAUCUCCGUGGCGUUUUCCUUUGCCUUUAGUUGUGUACCCGCCCCGCUUCACGCCGGCCUUGUGCGGCAGUUGUGUACACACACGCACGCACUUGUACUACUACUGGUGGCCUUGGACUUUGCUGGUUGCUGGUGCGCACCCAGCUUUUUGCGAACGGUUCCGGGAAACGCCGGCGGAAACUUGUGCGGCGGGUCGGUCGGUUGCCGGGGAAGGAAGGAUUCUUCACACAAGCAACGUGAGAUCUGACCAAGGGGAGCAGCAGCCAGCCAGCACGAGCAGCAGUUCGGCGCUGGAGCUACGCGCGAGCUGGGGCAGGAGCUACACGCCAUGUACGUUGCGUCCCCGGGCCGGUUUGAUUUACGACCGGAAGAGCCGCAGCGUUUCCGGCGCGAUGACCGGACAAAUUAGCCGGCUUGGCCGAUGGCUAUACUAUAUCGGAUUGGACAUAUGGAGUGAUAGUGCUCCCGACAGGUAGGAGACGGACGGACGAGAGCGAGUAAACUGCUGCCUGCGACUCUGCGAGUCCUGCCGUGCACGGCUCCAUGGACGGACCGCACGUCCAUGGCCUGUGUAGCUCCGACCGCACCGGACGCAGGCAAGCGGGACGUGCUGUUCAUCCUGCAGACGGGACUGACCCAAGUUAUUGGAGACGCGUCGGCAUUGAAGCCUUUUCCAUUCUCAGGAGCAUGACGUAAUCACGGGAUCACGCACGGCGUGGGCAAAAGAUUACCAGCCGCGCCGCGCGUGCCUGACUGCCUGUGCAGCUGUGCUAUUUUGAGUGCAGAAUACAGUUCUUCAGAACCGCGCCUGUUUUUUGAGGCUAACUGAACAUGCAGUUCCAUACAAUUUCAAAACUCUACGUAUAAUACGGAAGGGUAAAAGAUACUGAGGCGGUCGAGACCACUGUCGCGACACGCGAAGCCUGAAAUCGUAGCGGAUUUACUUUUUCUUUCUCUCGGGGCAACGUCCAGCAACAGCAAGUGACUGCUUGCCGGUUCAUCUGGCCGGACUGAAGGUGCAGAACUAUCUGCUUCCAUGACCAUGUCAUCUUACUGAACUGAUGUUGAUGUUGAUCGAACGGAAACUUGGUAUUAGUGCAAUUUGCAUUUGGUAGACGGGGGGUGGGAUGAAGAAGCUGCAGCGCAUUGGUCAGGGCAGCAGAUGGAAAACGCUGGAGACGGAGGUCAAAGAAGACGCGCGUAAAGGAACCGGUCAGAACAGUGACUUCCUUACUGGAUUUAGGUGACAGGCUGAAAAUUGUUUAUACUUUGGCACGUUGCCUGGGACACAGCAGUGGACAAGUUCGGUUCGGAGAAUUCUAUCCUCCAGUCAUGUUCCUUCUCGGUGAUUAACUAUCAGCUCAUCUGCCAAUCACAUGUUCUGUGGUGACAGCAGCCAGCAAAAAUAACCGAACGGAUUAGUGAUCGCCUAGAUUAUGUAGCUCAAUUUGCAUGCGUAGUUUCAAACGGUAUAAAACGAUGCCUUCGAAGAAAUGGGAGUAGUAAAAAACAUGUGGACUCGAUUUGGGCCGGGCCGCGAUAUCUUCGGUUCUCCACCCUCUUACGCGCAGCGUUUCUUCUCAGUGUCUGCUCAUCACUUGCGUUAGCUUGUAUUGUUUGCCUUCGCUUAAUAUUAGUGCCAUGUUAUCAUGGCUCCAUCGCCCAGUCGAACGCCGGCUAUCAGUUCAAAUUAUGGAUAGUCUAUUGGCUUUGAAUAAUGCGUGUCCUUGCUCUGAUUCCGUUGAGUGUCAUUCCAAGAGUAGGUAUCUAUCAGAAGAAUUUUCAGCAAAUGUCAGUGCUGCUUGAAGUCAACGAGUACUAAUCACAACAUGUGUGAACAUUUGCCAUCCUCCUGCGGUGCACUCUGACCUGCAUUGGAGAGCUGUAUUGCAGCCUGAAGGUCUUCUUCUCUAUUCUACUUCUACAUAUCUACCCACGUGUAUAUGCAGUAUCCUCCGAUGGUUUAGCCCAUGGGCAAUGCAGUUGUCUGCUUCAAUUCUUGGUGUUUCAGAACUAGUAGUACUACUAGAUAUGAUCAGUAUGCUGGGGACAGGACAGUAUGAAUGUACGAUAGAUAAGGUCCUAGAACAUGGGCCACAGGUUAUGCAGAUCGCAGACACGAGUGUUUGGCUGGAACUGAUCUCCGAAUGCGAGACUCCGAGAAACGUUGAUGCCGCUUUCUGUCGAUCACCUUGAGCCAUUGUCCGUCUGCUGGCCUGGCAGGGAAAGUCUACGGAAUGCCAUCUCGAAAGCCAUGGAAAUUCUGUUUUGCCUGACAGAACUCUGGCGUACAUGAGCAACAGCGACCGGAGCGUGGUUUGCCUGCGUGCUUGACUGUAUGGUCACGACGAACACGAGGUGGCGACCAUCCGCCGCGUUAUCCAGGACUGCACCCGUCAGAGAAGGAUCCUUCACUUUUUGGGAAUCCAAUCACUUCGGGAUCCAUCAGAGCAGAAGACACGGCCAUUUCGCCGGCGGCUUUCCCCAUACAGUGCACAUCUCGUGAACUUCCGUCCAUAUUUUCUGGCCAAAUUUGCAAAGGAUUUGUGCUUUUCAGAGUGCAGCAAACGUAGCAAUACCAGGAAACUACGGAGUAGAAUAGGAAGGAACGUACGCCUGUUUGUUCGGGCGGCAAAGUCAGAGCGACACUCUCUCUACUUUGUUUGUUCGUCAGGCCAGGACGCCCGCCAAACCCGACAUGGAUAACUCCAUUAUUGACGAUGGAAAGUAGAAAUCUGACCCCGGGGGCACUAGCAGACGACACUAUCCACAUUGUCUUCACACACCGAGAAUAUGACAAAAUAACAUGCAUUCUUAAUUCACCUAUCGUCCCCAGUACACACCAUCAGAAAACAUCUUCGAUCUUCUAAGGCGUGGAUGCAUUAGGGGUGCGUAUAAAAAUAAUCAUACUCCUUCCGAUACAUAAAAAGUUUCCCACAUUUAGUACAAAAUAUGUACUCCCUCCGUCGAACAAAGGAUGUUUCAACUUUGAUUAAAUUUGAAUGCAUCUAUACACUAAGUCAUGUCUAGAUACAUUUAAAUUUUGACAAACUUGAGACAUCUUUUGUUGGACGGAGGGAGUACUAAUUUUAGUACAAAAUGUGUGACACUUUUUAUGAAUGGGGGGAGUAUCUCCUAGACUCUUUUGAUUCAAAUGAGUUAAUCCUUCAGAAUUUUUUCUAUGUAGGCUUAUUUCAUUCGUAGGAUUAGAUUUUAGUGGAAAUUUGCCUAUGGUUCACUUUGCACUGCAGUGAUGCAAACCAGAUUCCGCGAAAACCCACUUCUAGUUCAUUUUUCAAAUCUUCAAUUCAAAUUUUGAGCAAAAAUUUGGAUAAAAGACUUGAGAAUUGAACUAAAAGUUGACCAUCAAUGGGAUCCCGUUUGCAUCUCUACUGCUCUCAAUUCCAAAGUAAAUUUUCCAUCUAAAUCUAAUCACUUGAAAAAAUUCCUUUGUUUCCAUGAUAACUAUACCAAUGCACGUAAUGUUUUUCUCUGUUUUUCCUCUAAUGCUAGAUUGAGUCUGUUUUUCCUUUAAUGUUUUUCCAACUCGAUUAGUUUAUUCAGGUGGUUUCUUCCUGUAGAAAACAACAUAUCAUGACAUUUCAAUCUUGUGUUUGCUAUUUCAGGGCUCAUUCACUCUACAUGCGUUUUAGAUGAUUUUUCUACAAGAUUUCAACUCUUACACCUUGUUUGGCACAUGUGGGUUUCUUACGUUUUCUAUUUCUACUCUACAAUCUUAAAAUCAUGUUCUCCUUCUGACCUUUGUUCUCAAAUUUAUCUAAAUACGGAUGUAUCUAUGUUUAAAAAAUGUCUAUAUAUAUUUAUAAUAUUUCAGUAACUAAUAUGAAUCGGAGCAACUAACUCGAACGAGCCCUCGGUGUUUGAAUAUUUAAAUACUCCUGAAUGCAAGUAUAGUUCUGCACUCCUACUGCAGCUUGCUACCACGAAACUAAACAUUUCUCUUUCUGCAGCCCCCGACUCGAUCUAGCCGCAGUCCAUGUCGUUCUUUUCGCCCUGGCGUGUGCAAGAGUCGAACCCAUAGUGUGAACAAUUGAGUUAGGCACGAGCCGGAGAGGAGGAGAAAGGACAAAUUAUUGCUCAGAUUAAUCAUCACCUCGAUCGUUGCGGCGCAAUACCGUUAUAUAACGACGGAAUACGGGCCCACACGUCAGUGUAAAGCGAGCUGCUUGCCGCUUUCUCCCUCUUGCGUGACGCCGUCGCCGUCCAGAGCCAUCUGGCCACCGGGCUCCCAGCCCCCCACAGAUGUGCCCCCUGCAUGCGCGCCAUGUAUCAGCCUCUGAUACGUCAGGCCAGGAACCAUCCUCAGCCGUCAGUUCGUCCAUCUCGACGGCUGCGAUCGCGCUGCCGCCACUUAUAAAUAGCACCGAUGCACGCGCGAGAAAGUCCGUUUUACCUUGCUGGGGGGGGGGGGUUUUACUUACAUGAGCGCGGGAAUGGAGGCGGAGCUGGAGGCGGCUCAGCGGCGCUUCCGGCUCUGGUUCCGCGGGCUGCGUUCCCUGCGGCGGGACCUCCGGUCGGCCCGCUGGGCCGGCGACGACCCGGCCCAGCUGGGGAAGCUGGCGGGCGGCUUCGUGGCCCACUUCUCCGACUACUGCGCCGCGCGGGCCGAGCUGGACCCGGUCCUGCUGCUGUCGGCGCCCUGGGCGAGCCCCGCGGAGCGUGGCGCCGCCUACUGGCUGGCCGGGUGGCGGCCGACCACGGUGGUCCACCUGCUGUACACCGAGUCCAGCCGCCGGUUCGAGGCGCAGCUCCCUGACCUGCUCCUGGGCGUGCGGUCGGGCAACCUGGGCGACCUCAGCCCGGCCCAGCUGGCCCAGAUCGACGAGCUCCAGCGCCGCGCCGUCGCCGAGGAAGACGCGCUCUCAAGGGAGAUGGCGCGGCUGCAGGAGGGCCACGGCGUCGUUGGCGGAGACGGGGAUCUGGACGUGGAGGGGAUCGUGAGGCGCGCCGGGGCCGUGGUGGCAGGGGCCGACGCGCUGCGGCUGCGCACCUUGAAGCGCGCCGUGGAGAUCCUCGAGCCGGCGCAGGCCGCCGAGCUGCUCGUCGCCAUGGCCGACAUGGAGAUCGGCUUCCGGGAGUUCGGGCUAAAGCACGGCGACGGCGGUGGCGAGCCGAGCCGCGGCGCGUAGGCAUAGGCGUGGCGCGGUCCAGAGAGCAGAUCCUCAUCCGCAUCGGCGGCUCGGCCCAGUUUUUUUCUUCCAAGUGUUUGCGCUGGUUUGACUGGGACAGAAAGACUGCUCACUGUUGUAAUCUUGUUGCCGUGACGAUUGUCUUUGCCGAACUGUCUCGCGGUGGGUGCUGCGUCGUAGCUGGACCGUGUGCGUGUGCGUGUGCGUGCGCGUGCGCCUGCUGGGAUGUCGUGUGAGAAAGCAAUAAAAUGCAAGGAAUGCAUGCUUGGUUUCGUUGAGAAGUCAUAUUUUGUUUUCGAGCAAGCGGUUUUUUUAACAUCUUUUCCGAUAAAUUGGCUGUUUGUCUGUUCACUACAGAAGACCCGUCCUUUUAAAAACGGUUUUGCUAUUAAUAAAUCCAUGUUUUAGUUAGAGUAGUCAUAGGAUUUUAAUCCAAUGAUAGCAAGUGAGAGAUGAGAGAACGAGGAUGACUCUCAGAUCUCCAGCAGUUAUGAAACGUCGACUGAUAUUUAAGGUUCAUUUUUUAAAAACUUGCGACUUAGAAAUAGCCAUACCCAUUUAAAAAACGUGUUAAAUCUUAUUAAAAUAAGAUUCUGAUCGAUAACUUAUUUUUAAUAGGUAUUGCUACGGAAAAGUUGUUUUUCUAGUUAAAGAUAAGUUGAAACACCAACUGUCAUAUCUUGAUCCAACGGCGGCACAUUGAAGAUGGGGUGUAGCUGCUAGCUUCGGCAUUGAAGAUGGCGUCAUGGUAGGGAGAAGCUAUCAAGUUAUCCGAGAUAGAGGAGGCACUGAUGGAACACAUCCGCUUGCUAGGCUUGUAAUCGGACAAAUAAUUCAAACAGCUUUGCUAUUCAUAAGACAAUUGAGAAAUAAUUAUUUUCAAGCCGACGCUAACAAUCGUUUAAUCCAAUCUCUGAUAUGUGUGAGAUCUAUACAAGUGUUGUUGACUGAAAAUAACUGCUUCCUCCGCGCCUGGAUACUCGUCGUGGUCCGGAAAUCCAACCAGUUGUUCGUUCGAGCCAGAUCCAAACGACACCGGACAGACAACCACGGGCGGUUCUACCGUGCCGCACGGUCACGCGCCCAAUUAACCGGCCACACGGCCAAGCGAAUCCAGGAUUAAAAAUAGGAAUCGCGUACAAUUACCGGCCACCCAGCCAGGCAGCCCGCAACGAUAAACCAGCAGUCUCCCGCUCCAUGUUUGGGAGCCAUGCCCAACUACAAACCCAACGUUUCCAAGCUGGCCGCCGCGCCCCGCGACAUCCACACGGCAGAUUAACCCUUCUUCUCCUUUCCUUCCUUCCUCCCUCUCCGCGCGCGCGCGACCUCCCGCAGACCCGCCUCCGCGAAUCUAGCCACCCCCGCGCGUGCGCCACGCACCGUCCGUCCGUCGGACCUCGGCCGGGCCGGCCCGCGGUCGUCGGCGCGCGGAGGGCGUUCGUGAGAAUGCGUGCGGCGGCGAUUGGUUGCUAGCUAGCUAGCGGCAUGCCUGGCAUGAGCGCGUGAUGGCGCCGCCGUUCCUGAAGACCGGGCACGGCCGCGACAGGUUCUCCUUCAGGCGGCGGAAAUCGUCCUCCUCCUCGUCCUCCUCGUCGACGCCGUCUUCUCCGCUCUCGGUGUCGUCCACAGCGUCGGAGGACAUCGCCGACCCGGGCAGCCCCAUGGAGUCGUCAGCGACGACGGGCAAGACGCUGCCCUGCGCCCGGCGGGCGCUCUCGCGGAGCAGCUGCGGGUCCAGGGGCAAGCUGUCCGUCGACCUGAUCCCGCCGCCGCUCGCCGGCGGCCCGUCCGACGCGCCCAGGUCCUCCACCUCCGCCGCGCCGCCCCCCAAGCCUCCCCCCCGCAACGAGGGCCCGCCUUCAGGUCUCACCAUUGUUAAUUUUCUAGUGUCUGUCUGACUUUCUGUCGUCAAAUGCAGAGAAAUGCCUUGUUAUGUUUUCGUGAUCGAUUGCAUGUAUCCAGAUGCUGACAUCGUGAGGGACAAGUUCUCCAAGCUGCUGCUGGGGGAGGACAUGUCCGGCACCGGCAAAGGGGUGUCCUCUGCCCUCGCUCUCUCCAACGCCAUCACCAAUCUUGCAGGUAAUCUCUCCCUUACCUUCCAUUUCCGAUCUUUCCAUUUCCAAUAACAGUCCCUGUCUUUCAAAUCUUCCCAUUCUGUCCGUUGGGUUCUGAUGGAUACUGACACGAUCAGCUAUGAUUUCUUUCUCAUGACGUGGCACAUUGCAGCUUCCGUGUUCGGUGAGCAGCGGCGUCUCCAGCCGAUGGCCGCAGAGCCGAAGGCCCGAUGGACAAAAGAAAUUGACUGGCUUCUGUCCGUUGCCGACCACAUCGUCGAAUUCGUUCCUUCACGUCAGGUGUCCGAGGAUGGCUCCACCAUGGAGGUCAGAAACAAGAGGAUCCUUGCUUAUCACAAGUACCUGGAUGUAGUUCUGUAUCACGGAACAUCUUUAUGCAAAUCCAAUUACAGCGGUGCUAUUUUUCUCUCUCUCCCCCCAAACAGAUAAUGAUGACUCAGCAGCGUAAGGAUCUGCAGAUGAACAUCCCCGCACUGCGCAAGCUCGACGGGAUGCUCCUUGUAAAGCUCUGCCACAUUCUUCUUUGAAAUCAUUUACGAGAAUGACAUGCGUGGAGAUACCUGAUGAAUUGCUAAUAUGCUAUGGCUGCACAUUUCCUGUUGUGGGGGCACAGAGCUAUCUUGACAGCUUCAGGGACAAGCAGGAGUUUUGGUACGUGUCGAAAGACGCAGAUGACUCGGAGAAGGGAGACGCGCCGAAGCAGGAUGACAAGUGGUGGCUCCCGACUGUCAGGGUCCCUCCUAAUGGUCUGUCGGACUCGUCGAGGAGGUGGCUUCUACACCAGAGGGAGCUCGUCGGCCAAGUCCAUAAGGCAACAAUGGCCAUCAAUGCUAAUGUUCUUAUGGAGAUGGAUGUUCCAGAAGCCUAUAUGGAGUCUCUGCCUAAGGUGACCCAUAUGAACACAGCAACAUUGCAUAACAUUUUUCUUUACUUCGGUUCACUGCAUUUAGAGGGAUCGAGACUCACUUUGACAGCAUCUUCUUUUUUUAUGCUUGAUAGAAUGGAAAGUCUAGCCUUGGAGACUCAAUGUACAAGCUUAUAACUGACGAAUAUUUUGACCCAGAAGAACUCAUAGCAUCAGUAGACUUGUCAGCCGAGUACAGCAUCGUUGAUCUGAAGAACCGAAUCGAAGCCUCGAUUGUCAUUUGGCAGAAGAAAAUGACGCAGAAGGAUGCCAAGAUGUGGGGGCAUGGUGUCAGUCAUGAGAAGCGGGGACGGUUUGAGGGGAGGGCGGAGAAUGUUCUUCUCCUCCUUAAGCACAGAUUCCCCGGAAUUUCUCAGUCAGCUCUGGACAUAAGCAAAAUCCAGUACAACAGGGUACUGGCAACCAUCUUCAAUUUUCCACUGUAUUUUCGGAUUUCCUACAGUACUUUAUUACUCAUGCUCAUUGCAUACAUUUUCUCGUUGUGAUUUUUUUGCAGGAUGUUGGCAGUGCCAUUUUGGAGAGCUACUCCAGGACUCUUGAGAGUCUAGCAUACACGGUUAUGUCUCGCAUCGAAGACGUUCUUCGCGCCGACUCCCUUGCUCAAGACCCCAAGAACGCGGAGGCGACGAGAAUGCCGAGCUUAUCAUCAGAUGACACAGACACGGUCGUCCAAGAUGCCAAGGACGAGGUGGAGAGGCUGGGAAGAAUGGAGCCUCUGAACUCGACACUAUUCGACUACGUGGGCCCACGGGACGGAGAUAUCGGGCCCAUGAUGUCGGAUUCACAGGAACCUCGGGGUGCAAAGCUGUCAAAGGUUUCGUCGAUCGCAACCAAGAGGUUCUCCUACCUAGAUAAGCUUGAGAAUUUGGGUGGAACAAGGAGCCCCAUAUCUAGACACUAGUCGCUGCCGUAGGGGAAAAGACGAUCAAUAUGGUGUUGAUGUUGCUGCAGAGACUCCGGGGAAAACUGCACGUAAAUAGCUCCGCAAAAACUGAGGGUGCAGCAUGCAUUGUGAGGUUUAUGUAAGCUUUCAAGCUUUCAGGCACCAAUACCUCCAAUUUGGUGCAGUUGCCAAGACAAUGUGAUGACGAUUCUCCUGCUAAAUUUACAUGAAAUAACCACAAGAUUCUGACACUGGACCUGAAAAUGGACCUCCAGAUUUUCUUACUGUACUUCUGUAGCAAAGUUUUGUGGUUCCAGUAAAGUGUUUGUUAUCUUAGACUUGACUUGCAGACCAUGCUUGGGUUCGGCUAGUGUUCUCCCCACGUACAAUUUAAGAGGGUAAUAACAUAUCACUGAACUUGGAGAUCGAUCUGUGUUAGCUUCUGGCGUUCUAGAUCGGCACUGUAAUAAGUAACUGUAACUGUACCAUGGCUCUAUGCAUUGGGAAAUUAAAACCACUCGUAUGAGUAAAUCAAUUUACAGGAACAAAUGAGCAGUAAAAAGCAUCCUUCCGGUUGCUGAUAGUACGUGCAGCUAGGCACGCCAUAUGAGUACAUACAACGAAGGACUUAACGUCCAGAUACGCAGAUCCAUGGUACACAAGCACAGGCAUAUGCAGGAACAGAUUCAGAGAGAGAGAGAGAGAGAAAGAAACUGAAACCAAAGCUUUAAUCAAAUCAGAUCAGAUCUUGCCGCGUGGGCCGGGGGUGGGGGGAAGCUGCGGCCCCUUCUUGAUGGGCAGCAGGUCCGGCGACGUGGUGGCGCCGAGGUAGGCGAUCAGGGACCCGCCGCCGAGGAGCAGGAACUUGAGCAGCAGGCCGCGCUUGGUGAAUGGCGCCGCGAAGGUCUGGAAGAACUUGCUCUGCAGCCCGUUGUAAGGGGACGGCGCGUCGGACCCGUACAGGUCCCACUGCCCCGUCGUGUUGCCGAUGUCGUCCAGGUCGAAGUACACGCUCUUCUCCCCGUACUUCGCCUGCACCGCGACGCCUCGUGCAGGCCUGCAGGCGUACGCGCACGCGUAUAUAUACGGUUAUUUAUACGUAUGUACAUACGCUCGAUCGAUGACAUAUUAGCUCGCUUCACGUGCGUACCUG
rnacentral:lncRNA from 1 species